CACACGGACGGAUGGACGGACGGACGGCUCUGCGGAGAGCAACCUGAAGUUACUCGAGAGUGACCAGGAGAGAAGAACGGAAUGGUGACACCCUGCAGUAGACGUCCGUCCUUAAGUUUGUAAAGAGGGAAUUGAAAAGCAUCAAGUCCUCACUAUCGGCCUGGGAAAACAAUGAAAGACAAUGAAGCCUGGGGAUUUGGUGUUUUCAUGGAGGGUGAUGGCCAAGCCGCAGCAAUGAAGGGCAGGAGUGGCUUUCCUGCAUUUGAGAGAAACACUUCUGUCAUUCCAUCGAUUCAAGAACAUCAGCUGGCCUCGAGGGUUUCGAGAGAAGUGGUUCUCCAUUACUCCUGUUUAAGUCCUCAGCUUCCAUCACUGAGGCUGGUACAUGGAAUAUGCUAUAAAAAUCUUUUCAAUAAAUGAGUGAAAGAAUUCACUAGGCGCAAUGCCUUGUGGGAGUGAGGCAUACAAGUGCUGGGAGCAGUAGUGCAUACCCAUUGGGAAAGGUGAUAAGAUGAAACUUAACAAGUAGUAGGUUCCAGACACAGCCCUUGCUUUAUACUUCAGAACUCAGACUGGAAAGACUUGGACUUACCAUGUCAAUUCCAGGAAAUUUCUUCUUUGGGCUGUUAACCCCUGGAAAGCUAAAUUUCACUAGUAAACACCAUCUUUCUACUGAGAAAUUGAUGGAUGAAUUCUGAAAUGAAGAAGGACAAACAACAACUUCCAAAACUAAUGACUGCAGAUUACAAUAGAAGAAAUUCCCCAGCCCCUGCUAACAGAGGCAGCUUAACCCCCCACAGAUGUGCAGGAAUAAUGCCUUUGCUCUCUGGAGACAAGUCAAAGGGAUCUGAAAAUCUUUCAGGGCUUGAGAAGCGUGAGUAGGUUUUCUGCACAGCCAACAGAUAUGCAGAUUCCAGGAGAAAUUGAGUCUCUGCCAGAGAAUCAGGCCUAAAAAAGAAAAUCUCAAAAAUAAUGGGAGAGAAGAAAGCAAAACCAAAGCACAAAUAAAUAGCAGAGAAAAAAUAGAAAUACUUUUUGGUUGGCCUUCUAAAUACUGAAUAUAGUUGUGAGGAAGAAGAAGCCGGGAAUGUUCAUUGGAUAAGAUCUACCAUAACAUGUCUCUUUUUGAAAUUUUUCAUUUGAUUUUUAAUGGAGAGGAGCACAGGACAGAGAGAGGGUCAAAAGAAAAAUAUUUGCAUCGCACUGAUUUCCUCCUAAAGCUCUGACAUCCAUCUUCAUUUCAAAGGAGGCAUUUGCUCAAAUCCCUUUUUUACAAGAGGAAAAAUCCAAAAGACAAUAGAGACAUUAUCCACUCUGUGGCCUUUGACAGCUAAAGAUCAUAGAAAUCCACAACCUUUCCUGUUGGCCAAAUCGGUUCCUCAUCCUGGAAGUGAGCAGGAAUGUCAGGAGGAAGGAGGAGUGAAGGUUUUUCUAAAUUAUCUCAUUAUCAUGCCACUUGAGUAAUCGCUAUGAAAGUGAGGCUCCACAGAUGCUUCUUCCAGCACACACGGAAAUCAUCUUCAGGACAUCUCAAGGGAGCAUGAGAAAUUUUUCGCUAAUGGACUUUCAUUUUCCACACUAUAUUUUGUCUUAUGACCACACCAGCUGUAGUAUGGGAUAAUGGAAAAGAGUGACACAGUGCUGGGAUCUAAUUCCAACUUUACCCUUCAAUGCUGGCCCCACCUGGGAUAAGCUGGUUACCUUCUCUCUGAGACUAUUCAACCUUUUUGAAGAAAAGAGAUUGUGUUACAGCUCUCAAGGUUUGCCUAGAGGACUGAAUAAGCAAGUCUAUGUGAAAGUGCUUUGUAUCUGGUGAAAACCUAGUAUUCUUUGAUGUUCUUGUUCCGAAACAAACCACUCAUCCAUUCAAACUUCUCAGGCUUAGUCUCUUGAUUCUUCAUUCUUCUCGUCUUCAAAGUAGUUUAUUCAAUACUAUAUAAUAAUGAUCACCUAGCCCAUAAUGCCUGAUACCAUGUCCAUUGUCUAAAAUAUCUAUUAAAUUCGUGAGCUCCUAAAUUAUCAUCUAAGUAUGGCAAAACUAUACCCAUAAUGACAUCCUGCUACUUUUGAUAGCUUAAAAAAGUGUUACUAUAUAUUUUAUAAGUUUGUAUUGUCAUUAUUACUUUUGUACCUAGAUCUUGUAACCCGAACAACUACUUAUAAGAUAAUAAUAUGCAAUAUAUUAACUAGUGUAAAUUUCCUACUGUUUUCACAAUUCUGUAUCAUUUCUAUCCUCUUUUUUUGUUUUGCUUUUUAAAAUAAAAUUUAUACAACAAC